rnacentral:rRNA from 1 species
GAAAGUGCCGCCAUAGUGGGUGAUAGCCCCGUAUCCGAAACCUGAGUCUGGUGAAAUCGAGUAGGACGGGACACGUGAUAUCCUGUCUGAACAUGGGGGGACCAUCCUCCAAGGCUAAAUACUCCUGACUGACCGAUAGUGAACCAGUACCGUGAGGGAAAGGCGAAAAGAACCCCUGUGAGGGGAGUGAAAUAGAUCCUGAAACCGUAUGCGUACAAGCAGUCGGAGCGGACUUGUUCCGUGACGGCGUACCUUUUGUAUAA